rnacentral:RNase_P_RNA from 1 species
GGAGGUGGCUGGAAGGUCGCCGGUGAACAAACACCGUUCACGGGAGGAAAGUCCGGGCUCCAUAGGACAGGGAGGUCGCUAACGGCGACCCGGGGUGACUCGAGGGAAAGCGCCGCAGAAAAGACACCGCCGAUGGGGGGAACCCUGCGGGUUCCUUGAACCCUUUGGGCUCCUUCACAGGUAAGGGUGAAAACGUGGGGUAAGAGCCCACGCGCGACUGCCGGGUGACCGGCGGCGGGGCAAGCCCCUCCCGGAGCAAGCUCGAAUAGGGACAUCGUUUAGAGCGGUCCGCUCGAUCGUCGGGGGUUCGGCCUCGGCGCGGUGUCCGGGUGUGGGGGCGUGGGCCAGUCAGCAAUGGCUGGCCUAGGGGAAUGAUCUUCGCCAACGGCGGGG